rnacentral:rRNA from 1 species
ACGAACGCUGGCGGCGUGCUUAACACAUGCAAGUCGAACGGAAAGGCCCUGCUUGCAGGGUACUCGAGUGGCGAACGGGUGAGUAACACGUGGGUGAUCUGCCCUGCACUUCGGGAUAAGCCUGGGAAACUGGGUCUAAUACUGGAUAGGAGCCAUUUUUAGUGUGAUGGUUGGAAAGUUUUUUCGGUGUAGGAUGAGCUCGCGGCCUAUCAGCUUGUUGGUGGGGUAAUGGCCUACCAAGGCGGCGACGGGUAGCCGGCCUGAGAGGGUGGACGGCCACAUUGGGACUGAGAUACGGCCCAGACUCCUACGGGAGGCAGCAGUGGGGAAUAUUGCACAAUGGGCGCAAGCCUGAUGCAGCGACGCCGCGUGGGGGAUGACGGCCUUCGGGUUGUAAACUCCUUUCGCUAGGGACGAAGCUUUUUGUGACGGUACCUAGAUAAGAAGCACCGGCUAACUACGUG